AGCUCCAAUAGCGUAUAUUAAAGUUGUUGCAGUUAAAAAGCUCGUAGUUGAAGUUCUGGUCGUAUGAGGCUUCAGCACUAGAUGCGCAAGUACUCGCGGCCAUCCACUUGCAAACAUAUGUCCGUCCUUAAACAGAUGGCUAUGUAAGUAAGUAUUUUACCUUGAGAAAAACAGAGUGUUCCAGGCAGGUUUGUCCGGAAUGCAUUAGCAUGGAAUAAUAGAAUAUGACUGAAGUCUAUUUAUUGGUUUAAGGCUUUAGUAAUGAUUAAUAGGAACAAUCGGGGGCAUUAGUACUUGUCAGUCAGAGGUGAAAUUCUAGGAUUUGACAAAGACUAACAAAUGCGAAAGCAUUUGCCAAGGAUGUUUUCA
rnacentral:rRNA from 1 species